rnacentral:tRNA from 1 species
GCUGACGUAGCUCAGUUGGUAGAGCACAUCCUUGGUAAGGAUGAGGUCACCGGUUCAAUCCCGGUCGUCAGCUCGA